rnacentral:rRNA from 1 species
UACGUAGGGUGCGAGCGUUGUCCGGAAUUACUGGGCGUAAAGAGCUCGUAGGUGGUUUGUCGCGUUGUCCGUGAAAACUCACAACUCAAUUGUGGGCGUGCGGGCGAUACGGGCAGACUGGAGUACUGCAGGGGAGACUGGAAUUCCUGGUGAGCGGUGGAAUGCGCAGAUAUCAGGAGGAACACCAGUGGCGAAGGCGGGCAUCUGGGCCAACACGUGACGCUGGAGGCGACGAAAGCUAGGGGAGCAAACAGG